GUUAUACUCCCUCCAUUCGGAAUUACUCGUCCAAGAAAUGAAUGUAUCUAGAUGUAUUUUAGUUGUAGAUACAUACAUUUUUGUGACAAGUAAUUCCGAACGGAGGGGGUAUUAC
rnacentral:pre_miRNA from 1 species